GGGUGCGAUCAUACCAGGACUAUGCACCGGAUCCCAUCAGAACUCCGAAGUUAAGUCUGCUUGGGCGAGAAUGGUACUAAGACGAGCUUUUUCGUAGGACUUCCACAGACACAGGUU
rnacentral:rRNA from 1 species